rnacentral:RNase_P_RNA from 1 species
CCAGACAAUUGAUUAGUCACUUUCAUUAAAAAAUGAGAGAGGAAAGUCCGGGCUCUAUAAGGACGCGGUGCCAGAUAACUUCUGGCGGGGGCAACCCCAGGGAUAGUGCCACAGAAAAUAAACCGCCUUAUCAAGGCAAGGGUGAAAAGGUGUGGUAAGAGCACACCGGUUUUUUGGUAACAAAAAACGCAUGGAAAACCCCACCGGGAGCAAGACCAAAUAGAGAUGGCAAGGCCAUAGUUGGCCAAAAACAGUUCUUAGUUAGCCAUCAGGGUUGGUCGCUAUAGGUUAAGCGUGAGCUUAACCACAGAUAAAUGACUGAUUUAAAUGACAGAACCCGGCUUAUAGGUUGUCUGGCUAG